GACGAACGCUGGCGGCGUGCCUAAUACAUGCAAGUUGAGCGCUGAAGGUUGGUACUUGUACCAACUGGAUGAGCAGCGAACGGGGGAGUAACGCGUGGGGAAUCUGCCUUUGAGCGGGGGACAACAUUUGGAAACGAAUGCUAAUACCGCAUAAAAACUUUAAUCACAAGUUUUAAGUUUGAAAGAUGCAAUUGCAUCACUCAAAGAUGAUCCCGCGUUGUAUUAGCUAGUUGGUGAGGUAAAGGCUCACCAAGGCGAUGAUACAUAGCCGACCUGAGAGGGUGAUCGGCCACAUUGGGACUGAGACACGGCCCAAACUCCUACGGGAGGCAGCAGUAGGGAAUCUUCGGCAAUGGACGAAAGUCUGACCGAGCAACGCCGCGUGAGGGAAGAAGGUUUUCGGAUCGUAAAACUCUGUUGGUAGAGAAGAACGUUGGUGAGAGUGGAAAGCUCAUCAAGUGACGGUAACUACCCAGAAAGGGACGGCUAACUACGUG
rnacentral:rRNA from 1 species